GACGAACGCUGGCGGCGUGCUUAACACAUGCAAGUCGAGCGGUAAGGCCCUUUCGGGGGUACACGAGCGGCGAACGGGUGAGUAACACGUGGGUGACCUGCCUUUAGCUCUGGGAUAAGCCUGGGAAACCGGGUCUAAUACCGGAUAUGACUCCGCGGCGCAUGUUGUGGGGUGGAAAGCCUUGUGCGGCUGGAGAUGGGCCCGCGGCCUAUCAGCUUGUUGGUGGGGUGAUGGCCUACCAAGGCGACGACGGGUAGCCGGCCUGAGAGGGCGACCGGCCACACUGGGACUGAGACACGGCCCAGACUCCUACGGGAGGCAGCAGUGGGAAUCUUGCGCAAUGGGCGAAAGCCUGACGCAGCGACGCCGCGUGAGGGAUGACGGCCUCGGUU
rnacentral:rRNA from 1 species